rnacentral:rRNA from 1 species
ACGUAGGAGGCAAGCGUUAUCCGGUGUUACUGGGCGUAAAGGGCGUGCAGGCGGUUGGCUAAGUUCGUUGUGAAAGCGCCCAGGCUUAACCGGGCGAGGACAAUGAAGACUGGUCAGCUAGAGGACGGUAGAGGGGUGUGGAAUUCCGGGUGUAGUGGUGAAAUGCGUAGAGAUCUGGAGGAAUACCGGUGGCGAAGGCAGCCCCCUGGGAUGACGCUGACACUCAUGUACGAAAGCGUGGGUAGCAAACAG